AUUGUAAAUUACGUAAAGUUACGGUAGCGGCAUAUCACUAUUAAUUAUUCGCAAAAAACUAGCAACACAGCUUAUGUCAAUUUAGUCCGUAGCGAAAAUAAACAGACUAUACAUUGCUUAGGCAUUUUACU